rnacentral:rRNA from 1 species
UACGAAGGGGGCGAGCGUUGUUCGGAAUUACUGGGCGUAAAGGGCGCGCAGGCGGCUCUGAAAGUCAGAUGUGAAAGCCCCGGGCUUAACCUGGGAAUUGCAUUUGAUACUCUGGAGCUUGAGUACGGGAGAGGAGAGUGGAAUUCCCAGUGUAGAGGUGAAAUUCGUAGAUAUUGGGAAGAGCACCGGUGGCGAAGGCGGCUCUCUGGACCGUAACUGACGCUGAGGCGCGAAAGCGUGGGGAGCAAACAGG